UAGCUAGUUGGUGAGGUAAAGGCUUACCAAGGCGACGAUCUGUAGCGGGUCUGAGAGGAUGAUCCGCCACACUGGAACUGAGACACGGUCUAGACUCCUACGGGAGGCAGCAGUGGGGAAUUUUGGACAAUGGGGGCAACCCUGAUCCAGCCAUGCCGCGUGAGUGAAGAAGGCCUUCGGGUUGUAAAGCUCUUUCGGCCGGGAAGAAAUCGCAUGGGCCAAUACCCUGUGUGGAUGACGGUACCGGAAUAAGAAGCACCGGCUAACUACGUGCCAGCAGCCGCGGUAAUACGUAGGGUGCGAGCGUUAAUCGGAAUUACUGGGCGUAAAGCGUGCGCAGGCGGUUUUGUAAGACAGGCGUGAAAUCCCCGGGCUUAACCUGGGAACUGCGUUUGUGACUGCAAGGCUAGAGUACGGCAGAGGGGGGUGGAAUUCCACGUGUAGCAGUGAAAUGCGUAGAGAUGUGGAGGAACACCAAUGGCGAAGGCAGCCCCCUGGGUCGAUACUGACGCUCAUGCACGAAAGCGUGGGUAGCAAACAGGAUUAGAUACCCUGGUAGUCCACGCCCUAAACUAUGUCAACUAGGUGUUGGGUGGGUAAAACCAUUUAGUACCGUAGCUAACGCGUGAAGUUGACCGCCUGGGGAGUACGGCCGCAAGGUUAAAACUCAAAGGAAUUGACGGGGACCCGCACAAGCGGUGGAUGAUGUGGAUUAAUUCGAUGCAACGCGAAAAACCUUACCUACCCUUGACAUGCCAGGAACUUGCCAGAGAUGGCUUGGUGCCCGAAAGGGAGCCUGGACACAGGUGCUGCAUGGCUGUCGUCAGCUCGUGUCGUGAGAUGUUGGGUUAAGUCCCGCAACGAGCGCAACCCUUGUCGUUAAUUGCCAUCAUUUAGUUGGGCACUUUAACGAGACUGCCGGUGACAAACCGGAGGAAGGUGGGGAUGACGUCAAGUCCUCAUGGCCCUUAUGGGUAGGGCUUCACACGUCAUACAAUGGUCGGUACAAAGGGUUGCCAAGCCGCGAGGCGGAGCCAAUCCCAGAAAGCCGAUCGUAGUCCGGAUUGCAGGCUGCAACUCGCCUGCAUGAAGUCGGAAUCGCUAGUAAUCGUGGAUCAGCAUGUCACGGUGAAUACGUUCCCGGGUCUUGUACACACCGCCCGUCACACCAUGGGAGCGGGUUCCGCCAGAAGUAGGUAGCCUAACCGCAAGGGGGGCGCUUACCACGGCGGGGUUCGUGACUGGGGUGAAGUCGGAACAAGGUAGCCGUAGGAACCUGCGGCUG
rnacentral:rRNA from 1 species